rnacentral:tRNA from 1 species
UAGAAGGUGGCAGAGUGGCAUGCGUUCGGCUGUAAGCCGAAUAACGGGCCAGGCAGAGCCCCCUUUUAA